rnacentral:snoRNA from 1 species
CCCCUCUCAGGGUUGCAUCUGGAGAGUUUCCAGUACUCUACCAGUCUCGGCUAUGGGAAGGAGAGUCAAUCACAGGCAUACCAAUUUCAUUCCUAGCUUGGCCAGUGGUUAGCAAGUGGAAGGCAAUCUGCUACAAGU